GGGGGGAGGCUGGAGCCCCAGUGAAGGGCCUCAGAUGCCAAGGAGGGAGGUCAGGCCCUAGGGCUAAGCCCCUGGCACAGACUCAUACCCACACAGUGGCAUUUAGUGAAAUGGGCUCCUCUGACGUUGCCUCCUGAAACAGGCAGGGUCGGAGGGGUCAGGUCUGAUGAGGCCUGGGGGCAUCCCUGUGCCAGCUGGGUGAACAUGGCUGGUCACUGUCCCAUUCUGAGUUCAGCCUCUUUCUAGAACAAGAAGGGAGGUGGCACCAGCCAGGUCGCACAUCUCAGAUAUCGGACAACUGGGGAGCUGAGGUGGACCAGGAAGGGGAAGGCUUUCAGGUCUGGCUUGCUCAAGGGACUCAGCUCCUACCCCGGCCCCAGCUGUUGCUGAGCCUGAGGGCAGGUGGUGCUGCCAGGUGCCUUGUGUUGGCCUCCCUGCAUGCGUCCUGCCUGGUGGCCCAAGUUCAGCAUCCACACUUAUGCCAGCCAGUGCCCUAUACCACCCUCACCCUUCCAAGGCUCCCACAGCCUUCAGGGCUGCCCAGUGUGAGAGCUGCUGUGAGUCUAUAUGGGUAGCUUGGUUUCUCUGAUUGGGAGCAGCUUCCCCAGGGCUGGGAGCAGGACCCAGACAGUUGCUGUAAAUGCUGGUGUGUCGGCCCCUCUGGUGCUGCAUUGGUGACAUCCAGGGCCUGAUCUGCUUCCUGACAGUCCCCAGAGGGCCGCCAUCCUCAGCCCAUUUCAUGAAUGUGGAGACAGAGGCUCAGAGAGGUAGAGUGACUUUCCCAAGCAAGACAUACUGGCCCUCCUGCAGUCCCCGGAAAUAAAACAGAGAAGAGCAGCCCUUCCUCAAGAAGGCCUCACCCCGUCCCUCCCCUCUUCUCUCCCCUCUUCUACCCCUCUCCCCUUCCCUCUACAUCACAGACCCAAC
rnacentral:lncRNA from 1 species